UACGUAGGGUGCAAGCGUUGUCCGGAAUUAUUGGGCGUAAAGAGCUCGGUAGGCGGCUUGUCGCGUCGGCUGUGAAAACCUGGGGCUCAACCCCGGGCCUGCAGCCGAUACGGGCAGCUAGAAUUCGGUAGGGGAGACUGGAAUUCCUGGUGUAGCGGUGAAAUGCGCAGAUAUCAGGAGGAACACCGGUGGCGAAGGCGGGUCUCUGGGCCGAAAUUGACGCUGAGGAGCGAAAGCGUGGGGAGCAAACAGG
rnacentral:rRNA from 1 species